rnacentral:rRNA from 1 species
CACGUAGGGCGCAAGCGUUGUCCGGAAUUAUUGGGCGUAAAGAGCUCGUAGGCGGCUCGGUAAGUCAGGUGUGAAACCCCCGGGCUCAACUCGGGGACGCCACCUGAUACUGCCAUGGCUAGAGUCCGGUAGGGGAGCGUGGAAUUCCUGGUGUAGCGGUGAAAUGCGCAGAUAUCAGGAGGAACACCAGCGGCGAAGGCGGCGCUCUGGGCCGGAACUGACGCUGAGGAGCGAAAGCGUGGGGAGCAAACAGG